rnacentral:rRNA from 1 species
AUGGAUGUCGCGUGGAUAGCGCCGGCGGCCGUUGCGGCGGUGCUGGCCUCGUGGACGUCGAGCGAGCUGGUGUGGAGGCCGCGCGCCAUCACCAGGGAGCUCGGCGCGCAGGGCGUGGGCGGGCCGGGCUACAAGUUCUUGGCCGGGAACCUUGGCGAGAUCAAGAAGCUGCGCGCCGCCAGCGCCGACGCCGUGUUGGCCGUCGGCUCCCACGACUUGGUCCCCAUUGUGCAGCCGCAUUUGCACAAAUGGAUCCCCCUUCAUGGGCGCACAUUCCUCUACUGGUUCGGAGUGAGGCCGACCCUCUGCGUGGCCGACGUCAACAUGGUACAGCAGGUGCUCUCCGACCGCAAUGGUCUAUACCCAAAGAACACCGUGAUCCCGCACAUCGCUCGCCUGCUCGGCAAUGGCCUCGUGCUCACCAACGGCAACGAGUGGAAGCGCCACCGCAAGGUCGUCCACCCUGCCUUCGACAUGGACAAGCUUAUGAUGACGUCGACCAUGUCAGACUGUGCCGGUUCGAUCAUGUCGGAGUGGGAAGCAAAGGUGGGUGGAGGGGAGGCCGAGAUUGAGCUGAGCAGCCAGUUUGAGGAGCUAACUGCGGAUGUCAUCUCUCGCACCGCAUUCGGAGGCAGCCAUAAAGAGGGCAAACAAGUAUGUCUUGCGCAGAGGGACCUCCAGUUUCUUGCCUUCUCUGCUGUUUACAACGUCGUCCAAAUCCCGGCAUUGGGGUACCUUCCAACUGAAAAGAACCUCAAGAUACGGAAGCUCGACAAGGAGGUGAGGGGCAUACUCGCGGACAUCAUCAAAAGUCGGAUCACAUCCUAUGACACCAAGAGCUAUGGAUGGGACCUGCUCGGGCUAAUGUUGGAGGCAUGCAUGCCUCAGGAGCACGGCCAUGAUCCGCUUCUUAGCAUGGAUGAGAUAAUAGAUGAGUGCAAGACCUUCUUCUUCGCAGGGCAUGACACUAGCUCGCACAUGCUUACAUGGACCAUGUUCUUGCUGAGCACACAUCCAGAAUGGCAACAGAAGCUCAGGGAGGAAGUGAUGAGAGAGUGUGGCAGUACGGUUCGCACCGCCGACAUGCUCAACAAACUGAAGUUGGUCAACAUGUUCCUACUAGAAACUCUUAGGUUAUACAAUCCUGUAUCGGUCAUUCAAAGGAAGGCAGGUUCAGAUCUUGAGAUCGGAGGCAUCAAAGUGCCCCAAGGCACGGUCUUGACGAUCCCCAUCGCAACGAUACAUCGUGACAAGGAGGUCUGGGGAGAGGAUGCCAAUGAAUUCAAGCCACUAAGGUUCGAGAAAGGAGUAACGAGGGCAUCAAAGCAUCCCAACGCAUUCUUGUCUUUCUCUAGUGGACCAAGGUCAUGCAUCGGGAAGAACUUUGCGAUGAUCGAGGCCAAGAUUGUGAUCGUCAUGAUUAUUCAGAGGUUCUCCUUCUCCCUAUCGCCUAAGUAUGUCCAUGCCCCGACGGACGUGAUCACGCUGCGGCCCAAGUUUGGUCUUCCCAUGAUCCUCAACAGCCUAGAUAUGCAGAGACAUGACUAA